rnacentral:rRNA from 1 species
GUUUGAUCCUGGCUCAGGACGAACGCUGGCGGCGUGCUUAACACAUGCAAGUCGAGGGCACUUAUGCAGCAAUGUGUGAGUGACCGGCGAACGGGUGCGUAACACGUGAGCGACCUUGCCUCGUGGUGGGGGAUAGCCGGCCCAACGGCCGGGUAAUACCGCAUAGGGUGGUCUUUUCGCAUGGAGAGACCAGCAAAGCCUUGCAGCAAUGCAAUGGCGCCACAGGGGGGGCUCGCGGCCUAUCAGCUAGUUGGGGGGGUAAUGGCCCACCAAGGCGACGACGGGUAGCUGGUCUGAGAGGAUGGCCAGCCACAUUGGGACUGAGAGACGGCCCAGACUCCUACGGGAGGCAGCAGUGGGGAAUCUUGCGCAAUGGCCGAAAGGCUGACGCAGCGACGCCGCGUGGGGGAGGAAGGCCUUCGGGUUGUAAACCCCUGUUGCCCGGGACGAAUGCGUACCAUAGGGUGCGUUGACGGUACCGGGUGAGGAAGCACCGGCUAACUCCGUGCCAGCAGCCGCGGUAAUACGGAGGGUGCAAGCGUUGUCCGGAAUCACUGGGCGUAAAGGGCGCGUAGGCGGCUCAUAAAGGCUGUGGUGAAAGUUCGGGGCUCAACCU